AACGAACGCUGGCGGCAUGCCUAAUACAUGCAAGUCGAACGAUCACUUCGGUGGUAGUGGCGCACGGGUGCGUAACGCGUGGGAAUCUGCCCUUGGGUUCGGAAUAACGUCGGGAAACUGACGCUAAUACCGGAUGAUGACGUAAGUCCAAAGAUUUAUCGCCCAGGGAUGAGCCCGCGUAGGAUUAGCUAGUUGGUGGGGUAAAGGCCUACCAAGGCGACGAUCCUUAGCUGGUCUGAGAGGAUGAUCAGCCACACUGGGACUGAGACACGGCCCAGACUCCUACGGGAGGCAGCAGUAGGGAAUAUUGGACAAUGGGGGCAACCCUGAUCCAGCAAUGCCGCGUGAGUGAUGAAGGCCUUAGGGUUGUAAAGCUCUUUUACCCGGGAUGAUAAUGACAGUACCGGGAGAAUAAGCCCCGGCUAACUCCGUGCCAGCCGCCGCAGUAA
rnacentral:rRNA from 1 species